UGCUCUUGGAGGAACGGAGGACA
rnacentral:piRNA from 1 species